rnacentral:rRNA from 1 species
GACGAACGCUGGCGGCGUGCUUAACACAUGCAAGUCGAGCGGAAAGGCCCUUUCGGGGGUACUCGAGCGGCGAACGGGUGAGUAACACGUGAGUAAUCUGCCCUUGGCUUUGGGAUAACUACCGGAAACGGUGGCUAAUACCGCAUACGAUCCAAGGAUGAAAGCGGGGGAUCGCAAGACCUCGCGCGUUUGGAGCGGCCGAUGGCAGAUUAGGUAGUUGGUGAGGUAAAGGCUUACCAAGCCUGCGAUCUGUAGCUGGUCUGAGAGGAUGAUCAGCCACACUGGGACUGAGACACGGCCCAGACUCCUACGGGAGGCAGCAGUGGGGAAUUUUGGACAAUGGGCGAAAGCCUGAUCCAGCCAUUCCGCGUGCAGGAUGAAGGCCCUCGGGUUGUAAACUGCUUUUGUACGGAACGAAAAGGCUCUUGCUAAUACUAGGAGUCCAUGACGGUACCGUAAGAAUAAGCACCGGCUAACUACGUGCCAGCAGCCGCGGUAAU